rnacentral:rRNA from 1 species
UACGUAGGGUGCGAGCGUUGUCCGGAAUUAUUGGGCGUAAAGAGCGUGUAGGCGGCCCCUUAAGUCCUGCGUGAAAUCCUGCGGCUCAACCGCAGACGGUCGUGGGAAACUGGAGGGCUAGAGUGCGGGAGAGGAGAGUGGAAUUCCCGGUGUAGCGGUGAAAUGCGCAGAUAUCGGGAAGAACACCCGUGGCGAAGGCGACUUCCUGGCCUGUUCUUGACGCUGAGGCGCGAAAGCUAGGGUAGCAAACGGG